AUUUGAGUCAAAACUAAAAAUCCGGUCAUAUGAUGAAUGAAUCUGAAUGUACUGUACAUAUCCCCCUUUUGAGAGGGAACCAUAGAUUCUAUUAAAUAUUCCUAACUGGUUUCUCAGAUUUCCUGCAACAUCUACAAUGCAAUAUAACCUCCAAGCUCCAUCUCAGAUAUUUUCUGUUGAAGACAUGGCAGCAGCUACUCAAACACGGCGAGUGAGUUCUCCUCCAGAAGUCCAGAGCAGCUUGUUACAGAGAGAAGGCUCCAUUCCCAUAGGGAAGAUGUUUGAAGACCCUGUGAAGAGACACCCCCAGUUCAUUAUGUAACAAGAGUCUAAAUGUCAUGAAGUGAUUUUGAUUUCCAACAUAUGUACAAUAGUUUUUAAAAUCAUUUCAUUAUAAUGUUUUCUCCA
rnacentral:lncRNA from 1 species